AAAAAAUAUCCUUCGUGAAUUUAUUAAUUUUGUUAGUUUGUUUGCAGGUUAUUUAUGUUUGUUGUUUUAUUUUUAUUAUUAUUAUUUUUUUUUUUAUAUUACAAAGACUGAAGCUGCCCUUUUGUGUUUAUAAUUUUUUGGUAAUUUGCAAGUUUUAUGAAAGGGAUAUAUAAAAAAAUGUUUUAUAAAAGCGGAGUAAUUCUAGGGCAUUUUGCUGUCUUUUCUAGUGUUUUAUUUAAUUUCUCUUUCAAAGUUGGUUGGUGGUUCCUGUACUCUAGCUUGAGGAGGAUUUUAAUUUCAUCUACGAAGCGAAAAAAAAAUGUUUUGUGUGCUUAUCUUAUUAAAUGGGGGUUGAUGCUUUUCGGAUUAUCUUUACUUGGGUGAGU